GUUGCUGAUGAUGCCCUCCAGGGCCUUGCGUUCGCACUCAUCUGCCACGUGGUCCAGGUCCACGGCCCCUGUGAGGGAGAAUGGCGAGGACUCCCCCUGUGGCCUCUCUGCCCCCAGCAUCUACACCCCAGCCCCCGCGAGUGUGCAGCGCAUGCCCACCCUCAUAGGUGCAGUAGUAGAAGACAUUGAGGGCCUCCUCCGCCGCUGGCCCCCGCUGCUUGUAGCCGAAGAUGAGGUCGAUCCACUCGUGCAGGAAGUCCGGGAAGUAGAAGAACUCGGGGAUGAGUUCCUUCACGUCGGCCGGGCUCUCCAGGCGCGCCUGCCAGGCUGCGGCCACCGAGUGGAACUGCCGAUCGGAGCAGUCAAAGCUGGUGGAGGGUGGGCCACAGGCC
rnacentral:lncRNA from 1 species